rnacentral:rRNA from 1 species
CGGGACGGGGGAGUAAUGCUUGGGAAUCUAGCUUAUGGAGGGGGAUAACUACGGGAAACUGUAGCUAAUACCGCGUAAUAUCGAAAGAUUAAAGUGUGGGACCUUCGGGCCACAUGCCAUAGGAUGAGCCCAAGUGGGAUUAGGUAGUUGGUGAGGUAAAGGCUCACCAAGCCGACGAUCUCUAGCUGGUCUGAGAGGAUGACCAGCCACACUGGGACUGAGACACGGCCCAG